rnacentral:misc_RNA from 1 species
CACAAUAAACGUAUGAAGGCUGCACCGCCAACAGGCGGCAAGGCUGGAGUAUUUUAUUACCCUUGUCUUUUGCGCACUUGUUGUUUCCUGGGCGGGUUCGCCCGCCUCCAGGACCACAUGAUAAACCUUUUUUAUGCAGUUGCAAUCAGCGUCAGUACAACAAAUGUAAAUCAUUUA